UACGAAGGGAGCUAGCGUUGUUCGGAAUCACUGGGCGUAAAGCGCACGUAGGCGGAUGUGUCAGUCAGGGGGUGAAAUCCCGGAGCUCAACUUCGGAACUGCCUUUGAUACAGCACGUCUGAGUCCGGAAGAGGUGGGUGGAAUUCCUGUGUAGAGGUGAAAUUCGUAGAUAUUGGGAAGAACACCGGUGGCGAAGGCGGCUCAC
rnacentral:rRNA from 1 species